UCUGGGCGGAGUGACAGAAGAUGGAGAAGUCAGUGAUGCUCCCUAAUCUGCUCAUGUUCCUGUCCAGGAGUGCAGUCAAUGAAAUGGCAGAGGGUACAGCAGGACUGGUGGGCAGGAUCCAUUGGAGAGGCUUACAAAGACCACAAUCACCAGCAUCCCCAUUUUCAGAGCUGGAAGAAGAGAAGUAUUGUUGUCUCUAUUCUGCCAGCAAACCUUAAUACCAGGUCUUGUAGGAAGCAGGUUUUGAUCUAUUCAAUUUAUGUUCAGACGAUGUUUGUUUUGUUGUCAUCUGUGCUCUUUGAAAUCCACCUGAAAUCAAAGCAAAUCUGGAAUCAUCUUCUGCUCUCCCAAGCAAUGGAAUAUCAAGCAACUUCUUUCCUAUCUUAUCUCUCUCAGGUGGUAAUUACUUGCCAAAACUGAAACUUUUGCAAAUGGGUGGAAAGCAUAAACUAUGAUGCAUUUCAAUGCCAGAAUUCUCAAGAAUAAAUUAUUUCAGAGAAAUUUCAAAGACAACAAAUCCUUUUCAAGAUUAGAAAGGUGGCUUUGUGUAAUGGAGUGAAAACAACAACAAAAAGUUCAAAACUGAAGUACUUAGAAACCAAGAUAAUG